AUGGAAUGAUGUGAGGGGGUAUUUCUGAGGAAAAAAUAAUGCAGUGAGUCACUUCGCUUACAUUUCUUCUCUUGAAAUCCUCCCUGUCCUUUCUCAACCUGUCUCUGCCAUGGAUGUGACUCAUCCAAAAGAGCCUUGAACUCUGUUCUGCUGUAAAAGCAGAACAGUCAUAUUGACAAGAAAUUGACUCUGCUGUAGUUUACCUUAACAGCAUCUGGCUCAGACACUCCUAAGCUUGUCUGAGAUACCAUGUUCAUGUCAUACUUUCCAGGGUUAUUGAAAUCUAGAGGAGAGACUGGAUCCUAUCCUGUUGUGGUGUAGCAGCAUCAGUGCACUGUUCAACAGCAGCUGUUCAGAACGUGACUGGCCAUUGCAACACUUCACCAUAUGUGACACCAUCAGACUAUCACUACCUGGAUCUCAGCAAUAAUUCUCUCUCAAAUACCCAGAAAUGUAAGUAUGAUGCACCUUGGCUCAUGAAGCCCUGCAAAUAUGUGUGGGAACAUUUCACAGAACAGAUGAUGUGUAAAGUACAAAAAUAGUACUAAU
rnacentral:lncRNA from 1 species